rnacentral:rRNA from 1 species
AGGGCACCACCAGGAGUGGAGCCUGCGGCUUAAUUUGACUCAACACGGGAAACCUCACCCGGCCCGGACACGGACAGGAUUGACAGAUCGAUAGCUCUUUCUCGAUUCCGUGGGUGGUGGUGCAUGGCCGUUCUUAGUUGGUGGAGCGAUUUGUCUGGUUAAUUCCGAUAACGAACGAGACUCUGGCAUGCUAACUAGUUACGCGACCCCCCGAGCGGUCGGCGUCCCCCAACUUCUUAGAGGGACAAGUGGCGUUCAGCCACCCGAGAUUGAGCAAUAACGGGUCUGUGAUGCCCUUAGAUGUCCGGGGCUGCACGCGCGCUACACUGACUGGCUCAGCGUGUGCCUACCCUACGCCGGCAGGCGCGGGUAACCCGUUGAACCCCAUUCGUGAUGGGGAUCGGGGAUUGCAAUUAUUCCCCAUGAACGAGGAAUUCCCAGUAAGUGCGGGUCAUAAGCUUGCGUUGAUUAAGUCCCUGCCCUUUGUACACACCGCCCGUCGCUACUACCAAUUGUAUG